rnacentral:rRNA from 1 species
GGAGGCCUAGCUUGCUAGGUGUCCUUAGUGGCGCACGGGUGAGUACACGUGGGUACAUACCUCAUAGUACGGAAUAACUGCGGGAAACUGUAGCUAAUACCGUAUAUUCCAGUAAUGGGAAAGAUUUAUCGCUAUGAGAUUGGCCCGCGCAAGAUUAGCUUGUUGGUGAGGUAAUGGCUCACCAAGGCUCCGAUCUUUAGCUGGUUUGAGAGGACGAUCAGCCACACUGGGACUGAGACACGGCCCAGACUCCUACGGGAGGCAGCAGUAGGGAAUAUUGGACAAUGGGGGAAACCCUGAUCCAGCAAUGCAGCGUGAGUGACGAAGGCCUUAGGGUUGUAAAACUCUUUCAUCGGUGAGGAUAAUGACAGUAGCCGAAGAAGAAGGACCGGCUAAUUCCGUGCCAGCAGCCGCGGUAAUACGGAAGGUCCUAGCGUUGUUCGGAAUUACUGGGCGUAAAGCGCAUGUAGGCGGAACAAAAAGUUAGAAGUGAAAUCCCUGGGCUCAACCUAGGAAUUGCUUUUAAAACUUUUGUUCUGGAAUUCAGGAGAGGAAAAUGGAAUUUCCAGUGUAGAGGUGAAAUUCGUAGAUAUAGGAAGGAACACCAGUGGCGAAGGCGAUUUCUGGACUGAUAUUGACGCUGAGAUGCGAAGGCCUGGGUAGCACACGGGAUUAGAUCCCCGG